rnacentral:rRNA from 1 species
UUUUAAUUGAUAUGAAGAGCUUGCUCUGAUUUGAUUUUAUCUGACAAAGAGUGGCGAACGGGUGAGUAACACGUGGGUAACCUACCUCUUAGCAGGGGAUAACUUUUGGAAACAAGUGCUAAUACCGUAUAACACUAACAACCGCAUGGUUGUUAGUUGAAAGAUGGUUCUGCUAUCACUAAGAGAUGGACCCGCGGUGCAUUAGCUAGUUGGUAAGGUAAUGGCUUACCAAGGCGAUGAUGCGUAGCCGAGUUGAGAGACUGAUCGGCCACAAUGGGACUGAGACACGGCCCAUACUCCUACGGGAGGCAGCAGUAGGGAAUCUUCCACAAUGGGCGCAAGCCUGAUGGAGCAACGCCGCGUGUGUGAUGAAGGGUUUCGGCUCGUAAAACACUGUUAUAAGAGAAGAACGACAUUGAGAGUAACUGUUCAGUGUGUGACGGUAUCUUAUCAGAAAGGAACGGCUAAAUACGUGCCAGCAGCCGCGGUAAUACGUAUGUUCCAAGCGUUAUCCGGAUUUAUUGGGCGUAAAGCGAGCGCAGACGGUUAUUUAAGUCUGAAGUGAAAGCCCUCAGCUCAACUGAGGAAGGGCUUUGGAAACUGGAUAACUUGAGUGCAGUAGAGGAAAGUGGAACUCCAUGUGUAGCGGUGAAAUGCGUAGAUAUAUGGAAGAACACCGGUGGCGAAAGCGGCUUUCUGGACUGUAACUGACGUUGAGGCUCGAAAGUGUGGGUAGCAAACAGGAUUAGAUACCCUG